rnacentral:rRNA from 1 species
CCUACGGGAGGCUGCAGUGAGGAAUAUUGGUCAAUGGACGUGAGCCUGAACCAGCCAAGUAGCGUGAAGGAUGACUGUUCUAUGGGUCGUAAACCUCUUUUAUAAAGGAAUAAAAUGUGGCACGUGUCCUUUUUUGUAUGUACCUUAUGAAUAAGGAUCGGCUAACUCCGUGCCAGCAGCCGCGGUAAUACGGAGGAUCCGAGCGUUAUCCGGAUUUAUUGGGUUUAAAGGGAGCGUAGAUGGUUUGUUAAGUCAGCUGUGAAAGUUUGUGGCUCAACCGUAGAAUUGCAUUUGAUACUGGGAGGCUUGAGUACGGUUGAGGUAGGCGGAAUGCGUGGUGUAGCGGUGAAAUGCUUAGAUAUCACGAAGAACCCCGAUUGCGAAGGCAGCUUACUAAGCUAUGACUGACGUUGAUGCACGAAAGUGUGGGGAUCAAACAGGAUUAGAUACCCGUGUAGUC